ACCCGCCCUCCCACGCCCACCCCGACGCUUCGUACUCACUCAGCCUUCGCUCUCGGGAAGCGCGCAAAGUGCGCGUUUUGUGUUGCUGCGUUGCCAGGUCCAAGUUUUCCGCGGCUCCGCUAGACCUUGGGCUGCGGGGCCCACCGGCGGGUUAGACGCACGAGGUCUUCCAACCCCGCUCUGGCCCCCUCCCGCCCAGGGUGGCCUGUUGGCCACUGAGUUGUAGCAAGAAGUUACAGGCAAUGAACAAGUCCAUAUAUUUAAUUUUAGAACAUACAGGAUAAUUUAUUGAAGUCAAUCUCAAGCAAAAUCAGAAAUCAGUGGAAUGUCAUUAAAAAUCUUCCAAAUUAAUCCUCACGGAAGCAAAAAAAAAAAAAAAAAAAUUUGAAUCCCAAAAUAUUUGUAAAAUAAAAAAGGUAACAUCUCAGUAAAUAGAAUGUACAAAAAUUAUAUGUUCCUACCAGCACACACAGUAGUAAGAAGCUUAAAUAUUACAGGCAAUCCUAAUACACUGUAACUAGUCAACAAUAACCUAUCUAUAUACAGGUUAACCAAGCUUUAAACGUUUCACACUAUGCAAUAAAACAUGGGCCAAUCAACAAAAUCCCCAAAAUAUCAUAUAUCUUGAAGUCUAUGUGGCAACAUCAAGUCAUUAUUCAGUAAUGCCCUAGUGGAACACGCCCCAGGGAAAAUGAACACUAAUCCUUAGUAUCAGGAGCUUCUAGCCAAGUCACAGAAACUCUAAUAAAAGAGAUUGACUUUUAGUGAAUAUUGAUCUUUGUUAUUAAAGACUCAAGUCUCAAGUGAUUUAGGCAAAAUAACAUUUCACAGGAUCUACAAAGUUUAUUACAGAUAAACAAAGUACAGAAAUAACCAAUCUACAAAGGUCAUUAUCAUAGAUAAAGAUCACGAGGAAAUGAAAACAGAAUCUGUAGGUAUCUGUGGUUGUUGUGCAAUAUCACAAGUGGAUACAAAUGGAUUUCUCAUGUCAAUUCCAAUUAUGCACACACCCCUAUAUAUAAAAAGAACCUUAUUAUUAGCCAGUUGCAAUCAUCAUUUAGCAUCUUAGUUAUCAGUGGCGAUAGGAUUUUCUUGUUUAACAUGGAGGGCAUGUGACAGCACGAAUGAGAUAAAGAGCAAUGUUAGUGACAAUGAAGGAAAAGGACAUUUUAUCCAGUCCACUUCUAAACUGACAAGAGUUACACCAUAUACACCCCUCAUCUACGUCAUCUGAUGGAUACUGACAGCGGUGUGCACACAUCAGAGGUCUGGCGGCUAGGGAAGGGGAACCCGAGGGUGCUUUCUUGCCAAUUAGCAGAUGCGGUGAUGUCACACGAGAAGACGAAGGACUGAAUAAAGGACUUUGGCAACUACUCCUCUUUUCCCUUUCUCUUACAUGCUAAUGACUUUGAGAUGCUCCUGAAGGACAGGUAUUUCUCUACCUCCUACCCCUUCGUACAAAUGUGCCACAAGCACCUGAACUUGUCACUUAAGCCAUGGACUGACUGGAGAAAGAACGGAAAUGGGUUUGAAACACACAGGUCACACCUGGCAUUUCAGGAGUGUAACGUAAGUGCAAAGUUCUUUUUUUCCCUACACAGGCAUCUAUUAAAAGGAAAGAAGAGGUGUGUGGGGAUAGGGUUGACAAAAUAAAAAAGUAAAGAACAUACGUAGGAAAUACUCAUGUAAAUGCUGCUGGUAUUUCUCAUGCAGGAGUCUCUUCCCCGACUAUGUGCACUGAAUCUGAGAGACCUAGUGUGGACGCUCCCGUGUGCAGAACUUUGCCUCUAAUCCAACUUCAAGAGGAGAAGAGCUCUAAAUUGAUAGGAAAAAAGGGGACACACGGCACAACUGAAGGAACGUCAUGGAGCAUCUAUCUUCCCAGCCUUUUUGUAAGGUCUCUGGGUACUUCGGGAGGGAAAAUAAAUGCUGCCAGGUACAGGCAAUUGUAAGCAGUCAAAAUUCACAGAGAAAGUUAACGUUCAUUCAAGCUAACCCUAGACUUCUACUUAGUACAGUGUUACAACAAGGUCUGACAGGACUAAUGGAUCCAUACAGGGGAUCCUGGAGUAGACAUAUUCCUACGCAUUACAAGUAAGGGAGUUGUGUGGGCAGACAGUCCGCUUCACGAGUGUCUAUUCUUGCCAAUACUGCUUUCUCGGGAGCUCUCCCUAAGUGCUUCCUGCAGUGAAGUGUGUUUGCGGGGCCCUUACCUACCCUGCACAAGUGCUUCCCUUCCCCGGUGGGGCAAGUCUAAGGACUGGAUAACUGACAGGUAACUUGGGGAAUGCCCUGACCCCUUUCACCCUCAAAUGUGGAGUUAAACAGAAAGAGCUACUCAAAUCACACAAAUUCAAAUUCAUUUGUGUAGUUUCCCUGAGGAAACUGAUGUCUGACCGGGAGACGGAAAUAAAACGCCCACAUUCUCUCCAAGCCAGACCAAGGUCCACAGCACGCUGGACAGACAAGGGAGCUCCUCUGAUCCGACUUUUGGUCCGUGCCCUUCAUCUGCCUUUAGCUGCCUUUACCAGUGCCCCAGGAUAAUAGGAAUGUCCAUUCAAACACUGCAUUCACAUCCCACAUAAAUGAACUUCACCAAAAUACCCAUUAUUAUCGGAGAACAUUUCAGACUCGGUGAGGCCAUCCACUUCUAGUUUCCUCCAGAAGGAAAAACCAGCAACCACAUUACAUACCUUUCUAGGUAAAGUCAUAUCAGAAAGCCCGCCGAGUGUAAGACCACAGAGGUAAUAUCCACUGAGGGCUUUUGUUUUCAAGAGGCCAGGUUCAGUCCUCCCAGAGCCAUCUCUAAGACCAUGAGAGACACCUGGAAGGGAAAGCGAAGCCGGCCACCCUUCUGCCCGGGAGAGGGGCCUGUGACACCACCAGACCCUUUUCUAGAGGGCUUUCUGCAAUUCCUACUUAAAACACACAUGUACACACAUACACAGAUCAGACUAUCUGAACUAUGCGUCUCAGAAUCUUAAAAAAUGAAAAUAAAUAAAGGAAUGAUGACUACUUUUGUUUUGUACACCCAUGGAACACAGCCUAGACUUUAAAUUUAUCUCAUUAACAAAAAACUUUCUUUUCUGUCUGUUCUUAUUUUAAAAAGCGAAGACAGCUCUUUUUUCCCAGCUGCAAAGGCUCUGAAGCACAGUAAAAGGCAAGAAAAGACCAAGUGAAUCUAACCCUCCACAAAGGAAUUCCCAAACCGACAGAACUGAAAACACCAGAGCCCACCACCGGCUUCGGCCUGCGGACCAUCUCCCCGCUCCUGCUUUUGCAAGGCAGGGCCGCUGGCCAAGGCUGCCCGCGUUGCAGCGGUCUCUUCUUGCACUGACGUGUCCUCUACUUUUUUCUUUUCCUUUUUUUUCCUUUAAAUAAAAAGAAGGACAUUUUCCCUGCCCAUUUACUCUUUGA